AGUGGACAUAUGGUUGCUCCUUCAGGUAGCUAUAAUUACCCUCUCUAUAAUGCAAUAUCGUAUUAUCCAUUUGUAAUGAAUGAUAGUAACACUAAAUCGGAUUGGAUUCAGUUAAAUCUACAUUUCUCAAGGUCUCUAACAUCGAGAUUUGAAAUAUCUUUCAUGUAAAUACCUUCUUUGUCAUGUGACUUGUAUAUAUUCGUGUAUAUUCAGAAUCGUACCUACGCACAAUGUCUUUGAACAAUGGCACAAGCAACGUGGUCUCUUUCUGUAAAACAUAGCACUCUUUAUUUCAGCCACAGCAAAGAUCCCGAACCACGUGCAGUCAGCAGAGUUACAGCGUCUGGUUACCGUCUUGCAGUUACGAUACAGAAUAUGUGCACAUAGCUUUCAAUGACCAGACGAAAAAAAGAAUUCAUUUCAAAUAUGUUGAGAAGAAAACGACCCAUCUCUGAAAAAAUCACCUCACCCAAGAAAAUACGACUCAUUCAUGAGAAUGAAAAGUGCAAAGUCUCCCAAGAAAUUGUCUUGUAAUAUAGCAUGUGAAUAAAUAUUUUUUUGAAAUAUCUCACGAAAUUAGUUUUAUUUUAUUGCUUGUAAUCAUGUGAACUAAAAAUGUUUGUUUUGAGGAAAAAGGUCAUUUGAAGCAACUCCAGGUUAAACUAUCCAAUGAUUGAAUCUUAUUUCUCCUGAAUUAAAAUAAUUCUGCUAAAUAUUACUGCAGAAAAAAAUUCGGCCAGAAAUUUCUGUAGAAAAAAAAAAAUUCGGCCAGAAAUUUCUGUAGAAAAAAAAAAUACUGCCAGAAAUUUCUGCAGAAAAAAAAAAUUCGGCCAGAAAUUUCUGCAGUAAUGCAUUUUCUGAGCCAAUUUUUGAGCUUAUGAACAUGUGAACACACUGGGACACACAUUAUUUGGAUUCGUCUCCUCGAGAGCUUUCCAGUGAUAUAAAACAUGUUUUUGUAGCUCGCUUCCUUCUGUGUGGUCAAGUUCGGACUCCUGGCCAUUCCUAAGUUGUCCCGCCCUGCCU